GGCCCACAGCCUCUCUAAAGCCGCAAGGAAUAGGGGCCACCCAGAGUAUGUGUCCAAGUGACCUUUGAUGAUGUGGCUGGGGACUUCCCCCUGGAGGAGUGGACUUCACUGGACCUCACUCAGAGAAACCUAUCUGGAGAUGUGAUGCUGGAGACCUACAAGAACCUGGCCACAGUUAUAUGGGAGAGUGGACUGACCUUACACGACAUCUUGACUCCUCCAUGGAUCUUGUUCACACUUGACUGAAUCCGAGAUUUUGGGGUCAUGGGUGAGAUUAAUCCUACAGGUUGGCCUCGUCCUGCUGUCUGGACUCCUAAUGAUAGUAGCAUUAAUAAAUGCUGUAUGAGUUAAACUGAGCAGAUUUGGUCCCAACCUUUACUG
rnacentral:lncRNA from 1 species